rnacentral:rRNA from 1 species
AGUGAACGCUGGCGGUAGGCCUAACACAUGCAAGUCGAACGGCAGCACAGUAAGAGCUUGCUCUUACGGGUGGCGAGUGGCGGACGGGUGAGGAAUACAUCGGAAUCUACUUUUUCGUGGGGGAUAACGUAGGGAAACUUACGCUAAUACCGCAUACGACCUACGGGUGAAAGCAGGGGAUCUUCGGACCUUGCGCGAUUGAUUGAGCCGAUGCCGGAUUAGCUAGUUGGCGGGGUAAAGGCCCACCAAGGCGACGAUCCGUAGCUGGUCUGAGAGGAUGAUCAGCCACACUGGAACUGAGACACGGUCCAGACUCCUACGGGAGGCAGCAGUGGGGAAUAUUGGACAAUGGGCGCAAGCCUGAUCCAGCCAUACCGCGUGGGUGAAGAAGGCCUUCGGGUUGUAAAGCCCUUUUGUUGGGAAAGAAAAGCAGCAGGUUAAUACCCCGCUGUUCUGACGGUACCCAAAGAAUAAGCACCGGCUAACUUCGUG